rnacentral:rRNA from 1 species
AUUGAACGCUGGCGGCAGGCCUAACACAUGCAUGUCGAACGAGUGGCGGACUGGUGAGUAAUGCCUGGGAAACUGCCUGAUGGAAGGGGAUAACUACUGGACACGGUAGCUAAUACUGCCUACCCUCGGAUGUGCCCAGAUGGGUUUAGUUAGUAGGUGGGUUAAAGGCACACCUAGGCGACGAUCCCUAGCUGGUCUGAGAGGAUGACGAGCCAUCAUGGAAUGGAGACAAGGUCCAGACUCCUACGGGAGGCAGCAGUGGGGAAUAGAGUACAGUGGGCGCAAGCCUGAUGCAGCCAUGCCGCGUGGAUGAAGAAGGCCUUCGGGUUGUAAAGUACUAUCAGCGGGGAGGCGUUACCCGCAGAAGAAGGACCGGCUAACUCCGUGCCAGCCGCCGCGGUAAUUC